AAAAAGCGUGACUCCCGAUCCCGUGAUGCCCAGAGAGCAAUGUGAAACUGUAAUGCCAAUUUCUAACAAAGUCAAGAUGACUCUAAAAACUACAGAAAGGGAUUUGAUGCCCCUGGGCUUCAGACUGAAAGGAUGGAGGAAUUACACCAUGGUUUGGUCAUAGGUGUACACAUACUCAUUCCUAAGGAUUAUAACCCCAAUUCAAAAUGUUCUGCUUGGUUCUUUUCCAAUAACAAAGAAAAUUCCACAUGA